UACGAAGGGGGCUAGCGUUGCUCGGAAUUAUUGGGCGUAAAGGGCGCGUAGGCGGCCUGGCAAGUGGAAGGUGAAAUCCCUCGGCUUAACCGAGGAACUGCCUUCCAAACUGCUUGGCUUGAGUCCGGGAGAGGUGAGUGGAAUUCCCAGUGUAGCGGUGAAAUGCGUAGAUAUUGGGAGGAACACCAGUGGCGAAGGCGGCUCACUGGACCGGAACUGACGCUGAUGCGCGAAAGCGUGGGGAGCAAACGGG
rnacentral:rRNA from 1 species